rnacentral:tRNA from 2 species
GUAGGUAUAGCUCAGUUGGUUAGAGCAUCUGGUUGUGGUUCAGAGGGUCGCCGGUUCGAUUCCGGUUACUUACCCCA